CCCUUAGAUGUUCUGGGCUGCACGCGUGCUACAAUGGCGUUUCCAGCAAGUCUGCGAACCCGAGAGGGCCAGCGGAUCUUCGAAUUGGCGUCGUGAUCGGGACAGUCGAUUGCAAUUAUUUGACUCAAACGAGGAAUUCCUUGUAAUCGCGAUUCAUCAUAUCGCGCUGAAUACGUCCCUGCCCUUUGUACACACCGCCCGUCGCUCCUACCGAUUGAGCGAUCCGGUAAAUGUUUUGGAUUGGUGCCGGGGCGGCUAGCUGCCGGUCGCUACGAAAUUUUGUGAACCCUAUCGCUUAGAGGAAGGAAAAGUCGUAACA
rnacentral:rRNA from 1 species